rfam:Triticum aestivum genome assembly, contig: Triticum_aestivum_CS42_TGACv1_scaffold_194072_3AL
UAGCUACUCCAUCCAUCCGGAAAUACUUGUCAUCAAAAUGGAUAAAAGGAGGUGUAUCUAGACGUAUUUUAAUUCUAAAUACAUCUCUUUUUAUCCAUUUUGAUGACAAAUAUUUUCGGACGGAGGGAGUACUUU